GACGAACGCUGGCGGCGUGCUUAACACAUGCAAGUCGAACGGCAAGGCCCUACUUGUGUGCGGUGCUCGAGUGGCGAACGGGUGAGUAACACGUGAGUAACCUGCCCUUCACUUUGGUAUAGCUUCACGAAACUAGGGCUAAUACCGUAUAGCAGCUCCUGCUGCGUGGUGGGGGGUGGAACGUUUAAGCGGUUGGGGCUGGACGCGCGGCUUAUGAGCUUGUUGGUGGGGUAGUGGCUGACCAAGGCUUUGACGGGUACCCGGCACGAGAGGGUGAACGGGCACCUUGGGCCUGAGAUACGGAGCAGAGUGCAACGGGAGGCAGUAGGGGGGAAUAUUGUACAAUGGGCGGAAGUCUGAUGCAGAAACGCCGCGUGCGGGAUGACGGCCUUCGGGGUGUAAACCGCUUUCGCCUGUGACGACGCGUGAGUGACGGUAAUGGGUAAAGAAGCACCGGCUAACUACGUG
rnacentral:rRNA from 1 species